rnacentral:rRNA from 1 species
AUUGAACGCUGGCGGAAUGCUUUACACAUGCAAGUCGAACGGCAGCACGGACUUCGGUCUGGUGGCGAGUGGCGAACGGGUGAGUAAUGUAUCGGAACGUGCCCAGUCGUGGGGGAUAACGUAGUGAAAAUUACGCUAAUACCGCAUACGAUCUAUGGAUGAAAGCGGGGGAUCGCAAGACCUCGCGCGAUUGGAGCGGCCGAUAUCAGAUUAGGUAGUUGGUGGGGUAAAGGCCCACCAAGCCAACGAUCUGUAGCUGGUCUGAGAGGACGACCAGCCACACUGGACCUGAGACACGGUCCAGACUCCUACGGGAGGCAGCAGUGGGGAAUUUUGGGCAAUGGGCGAAAGCCUGAUCCAGCCAUUCCGCGUGCAGGAUGAAGGCCCUCGGGUUGUAAACUGCUUUUGUACAGAACGAAAAGGUUUCUACUAAUACUAGGAGCUCAUGACGGUACUGUAAGAAUAAGCACCGGCUAACUACGUGCCAGCCGCCGCAGUAA